CUGAGAUCGAACUUCCAGUGACUCCAGAAAAGGACUGCAGCAUGACCAUCCUUUCCUGUUCAGCCAAACACCUUAACUAGAAUUAUUCAAGUUUAAACCAAAAUUUCAGCGGUAACUGAAAUGCUUGCAGAAUACACGAACAACAGCGCCCUCUGCACCUGAAACCCCUCCGGUUAUUAAACCCAGACGUUCCUACGUGCUGGAGGAGCCUUUAAUUUCAAUUACUGCUUUUUUCAGCUGCUGCUUACACCUUCCCUAUGAGAAUGGUAUGAGAUGACAAGAAAAGGUUUCUGACCUCACCAUCCUCUACUUCCCCCACACUGCAUUUUGAAGGGAAAUUUAUAAAACUCCACCAGUGUAGCCUGGACACUGCUGUCCCAGGAAGGACUACAGGGAGAAAGAACCAGGAUCUUGGCUUUUCCUGAUAAAACCAGUUCGGAUGCAAGGGACAGCUGAGUGCUCUUGCCCCUGCCAGUAGGACCAUGGCCAGGGCUCAUCUCACUGCGGGGCGACCAUCUGCUGCCACUUAACAGCACAGGAAACCACCACUGAACAAAAGCAUCCACUCGUAGAGCAUCCCACCUCCUGCAACAAAAUGGAGGCAUAAAGGCAAUGCUACUUCAUCACAUACAAUUUACAGUGAAGAGAGGACAGCAAACACUAUAUUCUAACCAGCAGAGCCAUAGAUAUUUCUGGUGUUAUAUUUGGCUAAAAUCUCACCACCAAUCUCAGCUUCUGGCAUGGAAGGAAAGAAAUCCAUUCCCAAGGGGCACAGAAAGGAUGCAAACCUCAAGACGAGAUCCAACCCUUGCAGCCUUUGUGUGAGGUGAAGAAAAUGAAGGAAGUGAAUAAACUGCCCACCUGCUAAAAUUGAUGCUGCAAACUGCCCCCAGGAGAACUGCCAAGGAAUCCAGCCUCAUUUUGCCUGGGAAUGCAAGAUCUCCACUGUGGCUCCUCAAACUCUGUUCCCAUCCUUGCCCUUCUGCCCAGGAAAUACCAUUUAAUGCAUGUGUCCAGUUACUGCAACAACUUUGAAGAAAGGAAGACGUCAAAGGCAAUGCAAGAAGGCAAGAUCUGGCAACAGCAGCUGUCAAGAUUCCAAACCCAAGAAAUUAAAAAACACCUACUGUCCAAAUUAUUGUUGUACUGG